rnacentral:rRNA from 1 species
GUUAGGUCGGCCCAAAUUAAGUAAGACAGUCGACUCGGCGACGGCGGUCGGCAGUCUCCCCUCUCUGCUCGCCAGCCAGUCGCCGCCUCCGGCCUCGUUGCCACCCACCCGCUCCGGCCGCACCCCUGCGCACCUCACCAGCGUUGCCUCCCGAUUGGGUUCGGGCAAGCCAGUUUCCGCUCGCCACCUCCGAUCUCGUCGCCGUCCAUCCGUUCCGGCCGCACGCCUGCGCACCUCACCAGCGUUCGCCUCCGUGAUCGAUGGCGCCACCAGCGACGGGAAAGAUGCCGCUGCAAGAUCCUCCACACUCUCUCUCCCCUGAUGUGAAUCCCCAUAUUAUCCCAUGAAUUUCAGCCUCAACUCUCUAAUCCCCCUGUGUGUGUGUUCUUUUUGGCUUGCAGGUCAAACCCUAUUGGGGAUGUGAUUCCCCCGCUCCAGAUUGAAGUGGUCGGCGUUGGUGGCCGCCGUGAUGCUGGAUGGUGCAGGUCAGACCUCCAGUGCGUGGCCAUGGAGCAGAUCGAACAUAUGUGCAGGUAGAGAGAUGAAGACAGUGGGGGGAAGACAAGCUGCUGGUUUGGCUAUUUGGGGAAGAAUGGAGACGUGUGAAGUCUUUGCAAUGGCUUGCUCUGCUCUCUCUUCUUUUGAUAUCAGAAAACCAUCUUCCUUGGCUGACAAAGUGUGACGCCUCAGUGAUGCCGCCAAAGGUGUCCGUCGCCGCCUCAAACGAUGGCGCGCUGCCUGAAGACAUGUUGCGUCACAUCCUCGUGUGCCUCCCCACGAAGGCGGUGUGCCUCUUCCGAGCGGUUUGCCAAUCCUGGAGGUCCCUCCUCUCGGAUCCGCUCUUCGUUGCAGCCCACAAGUCCUGUCACCCUGGUCCACUAAUCGUCACAUGUAACUGUGAGAUGUUUGAAAGAGGCACCAUUAACUUAUUGGACUUGUCUGGCCAUGUCGUUAAGCGGAUAGCCACCACCAUGAAGGAUGCCAGGAUGGUGCGCACACGCCGCCUGGACCUUAUUUGUGUCACCGGACGUAAGGGCUGCCAUGUGAUCAACCCUGCCACGGGUGAUACCUUUGCAUUGCCCAGUCGCCGCGCAAAGGAGCAUGCACAUGUGCAACAUUUCUUCCCACAAUCGUUUGACUUUGGACAGGUUGUCUCCACGGGAGAAUACAAGGCCCUACGCUGUGUUAGCAUAGAUAAUUCCGAUCAUGAGUCCAGCCCGAUGCUCUGUGAGGUCAUCACCCUUGAUGAUGGUCGCCAUGCAAGAUGGAGGGGAAAACAGGGCCCUCCGGCCCCUGUCACAAGUAACCAUAACAGAAGUAUUGUUGUCAAUGGAGUAGUUUAUUUCUUGUUGGAUUUUCUAUACAAACGUUUCACAUUUUCUGGGGCCCGUGUGAAACCGGGUAGCAUGGCUUUGUUCAACCUUGAGACAGAGGAGUGGAUGGGGAUUGUCCAAGGUCCAACUCCAGUGCGCAGCUUUGUUAAGGACAGCAGUGGCAGGUGCGGUUACUUUAGUCUAUACUCGGAUCUAUCACUGGCAAAUUUGGAUGGGUUCCUAGUCAUGGCACACAAUCCUGAAGGUUGCUCUUUGGACUUAUGGUUUUUGAUGGAUAUUGAGAAAUGUCUCUGGAAUAAAAGGUACAGCUUGGAUUUCCAGCCUGAAAAUCUCUUUGCUCAACCCUUGGAAAUUCUAAAUGACGGGAAGAUAAUCCUGUCUGCAUCAGGAUCACUAAGACUAUAUAACCCAAUUACCAAGACUUACAUUGAUUUUGGGAUGAGAAAUUCCACAUCAGUUGGUACUUACACUGGAAGUCUGUUGUCUUCAGAGAGCACCUUCACUUCUGAGGCUGAACGUUGCACUACCUGUGGCUGCUAUUUCACCCUCGAAGCCGGCCAACAUGAUGUAACCUGUCAAGAUUGUAUGUAUGAAGCCAUGUUUGCACGACGGUGACCUUCCCGGGCAUCUUUUCACUAACGGCCCGUAUUGGCUUUAUGUGUAUGUGAACGGCGCUGCACACCAUUUUUGCAUUUGGAGGGCUGCCGGCGUAACUGGACAUCCAUUAGGCUUUCACCAAUUACCAAUGCCAAUAGACAAUUUCAAUGUCAAUAUGGCCUAGGGCCUGACAUGUGGGCCUGAAACUAGUGGCACCACCUAGGGGCCUGACAUGUGGGCCCAAUCGUGAGAAGGGGUAGAUUGGUGGAUUUUGGCUCAACAGUGUUGACAAUUGUUUAAACCAGCUCCACUCCCACUCCACCCACUCCCUCCAGCUCCAGCCAUGGCAUCGCGGACCACCAGCCCCUGCCUGAUCUUCCUCCUGGCGCUCCUUCUCCCCCUCGCCGCGGUCGCCGUGCCGCGCAGACACCGCUUUCCGUCGCUCCAGCUCGCCCCGGUCAACGCCUCGGAGCCACCCACCACUUUCUUCGAGGUGGACCGCCCGAUCCAGCCGCCGCGCGGCAGCGUCGGGCCCUGCUCCGCUCUGCUCCUCUCCGACUCCUUCGGCUACACCUACGGCCGUCCUCCGGCCACCGCCGCCUACGUGCCGCCCGAGUGCCUCGCCGCCGCGCGCGCCCGGGGCGGGUCGCUCGCGCUCGCGGUGCUCGAGUGGAGCGCCGACUGCCGCGGCCGCCAGUUCGACCGCAUCUUCGGCGUCUGGCUCUCCGGCGCCGAGCUCCUCCGCAGCUGCACCGCCGAGCCGCGCCCCGACGGCAUCCUCUGGUCGGUCUCCCGCGACGUCACGAGGUACGCCGCCCUUCUCUCCGAGCCUGGCGAGGUCGCGGUGUACCUUGGCAACAUCGUCGACAGCACGUACACCGGCGUCUACCACGCCAACCUCACCCUCCAUCUUUACUUCCACUCCACAACGCCGUCACCGCCGCCGCUGCCGCACGCCGAUUUGAUCCUGCCCAUCUCGAGGAGCCUACCUCUGAACGACGGGCAGUGGUUCGCCAUCCAGAAUUCCGCCGAUGUGCAGUCGAGGAAGCUCGCCAUUCCGUCGAACACCUACAGGGCGGUCCUUGAGGUGUUCGUUUCGUUCCACUCCAGUGAUGAGUUCUGGUACACCAACCCUCCCAACGAGUACAUUGAGGCCAACAAUUUGUCCAGCGUCCCUGGCAAUGGUGCGUUUCGGGAGGUUAUUGUUAAAGUCGAUGACAAUGUGGUCGGUGCUGUUUGGCCGUUCACUGUUAUCUACACCGGCGGUGUCAACCCGCUUCUCUGGCGGCCAAUCACCGGCAUUGGCUCAUUCAACCUACCUACCUAUGACAUUGAUAUCACGCCUUUCUUGGGCAAGCUCAUGGAUGGCAAGGAGCACAAUUUUGGGUUUGCUGUGACCAAUGCAUUGGAUAUGUGGUACAUUGAUGCCAAUUUACAUCUGUGGUUGGAUCACAAGAGCAAGAAGACAGUUGGGAGCUUGAUCAGCUAUGAUGCAGCGUCGUCGGCAAAUGUGGACUCGCAGUUCAGCGGGCUGGACGGGCGGUUCGUGACGAGCGCAAGCCGGCAUGUCUCCGCCACCGGGUGGGUGGAAUCGUCGCACGGAAAGGUCAUGACAACUUUCUACCAGAGAUUCAACUACAAAAACAGCAAUGUGUAUAGCAAGAACGGCAGUGAGCAAGUGGUGAACCAAACGAUCGAUGCCAAGUCAGGUGUUUCCACCACAAACGGCGCCGUGCUGCUCUCGGAAGAAGUUCACCAGGUCUUCCCACUCUAUCUUUUCUCUGGGACCUCAGAUGAAGUGGGUGAUGAGUACUCGCUGGUUUCAGCUAUCAAAUUGAGCAUCAAUGAGAAGAGGGGCUCUGGUGCGGAGCAAGGCUUCUCCUACAGCUCUCUGCGGAAUGCGCAGUCGGCACGCGGUAGUAUGAGGGUGAAGGGGAAUUUGGUGACUUCUGGGUCUGGUGAGAACCAUCAGGUGUAUAAAUAUGUGGGUACCGAUGGAUGCUACUCCAGAGAUGUGAGCAGCAAGAACUACACUAUCGUUUUCGACCACUCUGAUGACUCGUGCUUAAAGGGAUCACAAGUUAAAGGCUCCAGAUUCCCCUCCAGUUAGUUUAGACGAUCCGUUGAUCGAACUGUACUGCAAGUUAGAGAAUAAGAUUUGCAUAGUUUAUCCUGUGCCUCGUGUGGUAGGUAGAAAUCUUGGAAAAUUCAAUUUAAACUCACUGUUUUCGAAUGUAUCAGUGACACUUUUAAUUUGGUUUGAAAUGAUUCUGCUCCGCACAGGUUAUGAUUAUCAUUGACACUUUUAGUACUUAAUAUAAUCAAGCUUCUGUCAUUAUUACUGAUUACAUUAUUUUCUGCAUGUUCACAAGCAUCUGAUUGGAUCUCGUUUUGGCGUUGCUGCGUCUGUUCCAAUCUCCAACUCAAUCGCUCAUCGCUGGAGAAUGGAGAUCGAUUUACUGUCACAAAAAAGAAGCCCUAGCCCCUCGAAAAGAUCUCUUGAGUGACACCGGGAAGAAGAAAGCGUGCUCACAAGAUGGGUGUUGCAAUAUGCAGUGCUGGAGAUGUUCUUCCAGUUCAUUCAUAAAAAAGAUGUUCAUAUCUCCUGAGCAGUGGUGCAACGCUAUGGGUGGAGGCGGAGGCAACUAAUUGCUCACAUUGGAAAACGAAGUGCUACUGCUCCAUUGAUGUAGUGGUUUUCCAGCUAGCUUCUUUCUUUCUGAGCCUUUCAAGUUCCUUUUGUACAGAACGAAACUUCUGUUUGCCGCACGUUCUUCGCUGAUCUCACUUAUUUUUUUGGUCACUGAGCUCACUGUUGUCUUCAGCAAUUGAAGCUUCCGCUGGAGAUUUGGCGGCUUUGUCAGUCGAAAUUCCAGGCAGCACCAACUCAUGCAGCGAAGGAUGGUUAUUUUUUCCCACACCAACUCGUAGCCCCCUCUCCUUGGAUUAUGUUCUUCUGACUCUUGACUGCUAGGAUUAAGUUUGUUUUUUAGGGAAACAGCAGGCCUCUGCUGCGUAUUUUCAUUGAUUUUUUUUAAGUACAAAGAGUCUAUACGGAAAAAGGAAAGAAGUAUCUAUACAGCAGCAGGACUAACAUCCUGCAAAAAAGGCCCUAGAAAAAAGCAAGAGGAAAAGAUACACACAACAUGUACAGGUUAACUACAGAAAGUCAUCUGAAUGCAUCGACCCAAUCCUGG